rnacentral:rRNA from 1 species
AUGUUAGCAGUUGCCGCAUUUUAUGAAAUCUGGCAAAUGGAUGUCAAAACAGCAUUCCUUAAUGGAUUUCCUAAAGAAGAGUUGUAUAUGAUGCAACCAGAAGGUUUUGUCAAUCCUAAAGAUGCUAACAAAGUGUGCAAGCUCCAGCGAUCCAUCUAUGGACUGGUGCAAGCAUCUUGGAGUUCGAAUAUACACUUUGAUGAGUUGAUCAAAGCAUAUAGUUUUAUACAGACUUGUGGUAAAGCCUGUAUUUAUAAGAAAGUGGGUGGGAGCACUACGGCCUUUCUGAUAAGUAUAUGUGAAUGA